UGCAUGUGGUCUGCCUUCUCUCUGAUGACUGGACAGGCACCCAAGGGAAUAGGGGAACAGACAGCAACUUCUCUCUUCUUUUAAUCAGAUGCUCAGAGGUCUGGUACUUAUUAUCUUCUGAAGAAAGGGCACAGGUUUUUGCAAGCAACUUGAGCUCAUAUCAGCACUGAGAUCACAGCACAUGAUGUAAAUGUCGACAGGCUGGAGUUUAGCAGGCAAAACAUGAAGCAAGGCAAAUGAAGAUGCUUCAUGUGAGAGGAUGACGUAGCCCCAUCUAAGGCAGGAGAUGAUAUAUUGCUUGCUGAGCUGACUGUGAAAACGACGGCGCCUGAAUAAAGCUGUGAAUCACCCCCCUGUCUCACACCACUUCCACUGCAGUAGCUUCCCUUCUGAAAAAAAAAAUGUGGCAAAUCCUUUGAUUGCAAAUAUUGGAAAUACACGUCAGUCCUGGCAACUUUUUGGACAUACUGUAGAUGUUAGUUGUUGUUCCCAUUUAAGACAUUUGACUGCUAAACUGGAAAAUCCCAGCAUUUGAAGCCCCAGCCAUGUUUAUCCUUAUGCCAAUAAUGCAAAAUGGCAUAUCGGAUGCAAGUAGGAAGAAGAGUCUUCAAAGUUGUGGGACUGUAUAAAUGAUGCCAUGGCGCUAAAGGACAAGGACCACUAAGAGGACUUUUCUUAUAUCCCUCCAAGUUUCUCCUUCUGAGUUCAAAAAGCCACAAAUUAGUGGAACUUGCCAGCUUAGUGAGUAAAUUGGCAAAAUGAAAGACAUUUGUUGAAUGCUGCCUCUGUGGUAGAGGGAAAAUAAGUGUGAUAGAACAGUCAAUGUGAAUGAUCACAGGAGAAAUUUAAUAUAUGUGACUCCAUG